rnacentral:rRNA from 1 species
UAAGCAUAUCAAUAAGCGGAGGAAAAGAAACCAACAGGGAUUGCCUCAGUAACGGCGAGUGAAGCGGCAUAAGCUCAGAUUUGAAAUCUCUCUAUCUCGUAGAGCGAAUUGUAAUCUGUAGAAGGUUGAAUGGCUGAAUAGUCUGAUUUAAGUUCCCUGGAAUAGGACAUCAUAGAGGGUGAGAAUCCCGUGAUUAUCAGAGGCUUUCGGUCGCAUAUUCACCUUUCGACGAGUCGAGUUGUUUGGGAAUGCAGCUCUAAAUGGGUGGUAAAUUUCAUCUAAAGCUAAAUACCUGCCAGAGACCGAUAGCGAACAAGUAGAGUGAUCGAAAGAUGAAAAGCACUUUGAAAAGAGAGUUAAACAGUACGUGAAAUUGUUGAAAGGGAAGCGCUUGCGAUUAGACUUGAUAUUCAGAUUCAGCCAACCCUCGGGUUCGGCCUAUUUUCUAUCUAUCAGGCCAGCAUCAGUUCGGUGGGGCUUAUAAAGACAGUCGGAAUGUAGUAACCGCUUCGGUGGUCAUGUUAUAGCCUUCUGUGUCCUAAACCCAUGCCGGACUGAGGUCUGCUCUUCGGAAAGGAUGCUGGCAUAAUGAUCGUAAGCGACCCGUCUUGAA